rnacentral:lncRNA from 1 species
GUUCUCAUAGGACUUAUCGUCGCGAUGAAGUACCGGUAUUGGCAUGUCAGACGAUGGAAUUGGUGGAACACCCGGAAUAUGAAGAAGGGAGUUUAGAUCUUUAAGACUUUUUGUGGUGGUGUUAUGAAUGGUUGGGAAAUAAAGGAAAACAGCGAGAGUACCAGUACCAGAAGUGGAGAAGUGGUAGCCAGGGAUAUUGAGUUCCUUGGCAACAUAGAGAGCAGCACAGCAAAAGAAGUCCACAACAAGUCCAUGAAUGGUGUAGUUUUUUGCAAUGGACAAAAGUUGUUCACGAACGUGAGGAUUGCUGAGGCGAAGGACCUCAAAAGUGAGCUCUUCAUGACGGGUGGUUUUUGUAGAAGGGAGGGUUACAGUAGGAAGAUGGUGGAAUUUGAUCAAGGGAAUGGUGGCAGCAACGUUGGCAAUGUAUGGGGCAGUGGAGCCAGAAUCAUAGGGCACAGAAGUGAUGAGUAUGUGAAUAGAAAGGGAAGGUUUUUGGGUCAAUAAGAGUUUCCCUAGCUCCACCAUAGAUAUCAAAUGGCCAAUAGGUGGUGAUGGGUACAGAACUAUGGCC